AUGUCUAUUUAGUUCGGCUUACCUUUACCUUGAACAAAUUAAAGUGCUCAAAGCAGGCUUCAUAUGCUUGAAUAGUUUUGCAUGGAAUAAUGGAAAAAGACCUCGGUCUUAUUUGCCAGAUGUGCUUCGGUAUGUUUGGUGAUUUUCUAUUGGUUUGAUACAGAUCAAGAGGUAAUGAUUAAUAGA
rnacentral:rRNA from 15 species